UACGUAGGUGGCAAGCGUUGUCCGGAAUUAUUGGGCGUAAAGCGCGCGCAGGUGGUCUCUUAAGUCUGAUGUGAAAGCCCCCGGCUCAACCGGGGAGGGUCAUUGGAAACUGGGAGACUUGAGUGCAGGAGAGAAGAGUGGAAUUCCACGUGUAGCGGUGAAAUGCGUAGAGAUGUGGAGGAACACCAGUGGCGAAGGCGACUCUUUGGCCUGUAACUGACACUGAGGCGCGAAAGCGUGGGGAG
rnacentral:rRNA from 1 species